rnacentral:rRNA from 1 species
CAGGCGCGAAACCUUUACACUGCACGAGAGUGCGAUAAGGGGACUCCACGUGCGAGGGCAUAUAGUCCUCGCUUUUCUCGACCGUAAGGAGGUCGAGGAAUAAGUGCUGGGCAAGACCGGUGCCAGCCGCCGCGGUAAUACCGGCAGCACGAGUGAUGACCGCUCUUAUUGGGCCUAAAGCGUCCGUAGCUGGCCACGCAAGUCUAUCGGGAAAUCCGCGCGCUCAACGCGCGGGCGUCCGGUGGAAACUGUGUGGCUUGGGACCGGAAGAUCCAGAGGGUACGUCCGGGGUAGGAGUGAAAUCCCGUAAUCCUGGACGGACCACCGGUGGCGAAAGCGCUCUGGAAAGACGGAUCCGACGGUGAGGGACGAAAGCUCGGGUCACGAACCGGAUUAGAUACCCGGGUAGUCCGAGCUGUAAACGAUGUCUGCUAGGUGUGCCACCUAGGCUACGAGCCUGUGGUGUGCCGUAGGGAAGCCGUGAAGCAGACCGCCUGGGAAGUACGUCCGCAAGGAUGAAACUUAAAGGAAUUG